rnacentral:rRNA from 1 species
GACGAACGCUGGCGGCGUGCUUAACACAUGCAAGUCGAACGGAAAGGCCCGGCUCUUGUGGGGUGCUCGAGUGGCGAACGGGGGAGAAACACGUGAGUAACCUGCCCCUGACUGUGGGAUAACUCCAGGAAACUGGGGCUAAUACAGGAUAGGAGAUCCUGCAGCACGGGGGGGGUGGGAAAGUGUCGGCGGUGGGGGAUGGACUCGCGGCUUAUCAGCUUGUUGGUGGGGUAGUGGCUUACCACGGCUUUGACGGGUAGCCGGCCUGAGAGGGUGACCGGCCACAUUGGGCCUGAGGUACGGCCCAGACUGCUACGGGCGGCAGCAGUGGAAAAUAUUGCACAGUGGGCGGGAGCCUGAUACAGCGACUCCGCGUGCGUAAUGACGGCCUUCGGGUUAUAAACCGCUUUCGACUGUGACGAAGAGUGAGUGACGGUAAUGGGUAAAGAAGCACCGGCUAACUACGUG